GGUGUGUGUGGGUAGGACACCUAAUGCCCCCCUAGGGAAGGUGGGUGUAGGUGGUAUCCAAUCAGGGUGUGUGGGUAGGACACCUAAUGCCCCCCUAGGGAAGGUGGGUGUAGGUGGUAUCCAAUCAGGUGUGUGGGAAGAAGAUGGUGAGAGACACAUAGCAUUACACAUUGUACCUCCAGUUAAUCUACCUCAGUCGUCCUAUACAGCCUUCAUCCCACCACUCCAGGAGCAUCAGCAGCAACAGCAGCAACAACACCCGUUGUACAACAAUGUGGACAGUAACCUUUUUUAAAUCUAACUCCAGUCCCACAUUGUCACACACUUGUGUUCUACUUUGUAUCAGUUAUUGUGCAACUUUGUUGAUUCGCAGACAACUGUGUACAAUGUGUUAAAUAUGAUCAUAUGGCAACUAGGAUUCUAAGGAUGCACACUUUCAAUUUUAACAGUGUAUAACAAUGUUUAACCCAAAGCAGCUCUCAGUUGUUAGUUUACCAGGACACAGACACAGCGUUGUACACUCUGUUAGCCACAGAUCUGGUUGUACUGAGUUUGUGCAUGUUUCUAAUAUUCAGUUUCAAAGGCUGAUCUUUGACCUAAGUAAACCUCAUUUGACUUUUAUGGUGACCUUUAACUUUUGGUGACCUUGAGCUGUUCUAUACGUGUGCUUUUUACGCUGUAUCCAUGUGGUUCACAGACAUAGGAUGUAUCUCACAACAAUGACAGUUUGAAUGUGUUGAAUCAUUUAAUUAGUCUGUCCUUGUUAGUAUGGUUGUGUUAUACCAGUGUGGUAAGUCUGUGUCGUUACCAUAGUUACCAUGUUACAGAGUUGUAGUUACCAUGGGUUCCUUUUGUAGCCAGCUGUGUGCACUGUUAGAUAAUCAAGGGGGAUAAUCAAGGGGGAUAAUCCUGGGUGUAGAUGCUUUGUAACUCUCGGCCGUAUCUGCUCCAGUCACGAUCCGCUUUGGUCGCUACAGUGGUAUCAAUGCUUUCUGGUCUCCCCAGGUCAGGUCGACCUGUGGCGUUAUGAGAGAUAGCCUGUAGAGGUUGACCUGUGGUGCUUGAAGAAAUGGCCUGCAGAAGUCGACCUGUGGUGCUUGAAGAAAUUGCCUGCAGAGGUCGACCUGUGGUGCUUGAAGAAAUGGCCUGCAGAGGUCGACCUGUGGUGCUUGAAGAAAUGGCCUGCAGAGGUCGACCUGUGGUGCUAUGAGAGAUAGCAUGCAGAGGUCGAUCAGUGGUGCUUGAGGAAAUGGCCUGCAGAGGUCGACCUGUGGUGCUAUGAGAGAUAUCAUGCAGAGGUCAAACUUUGGUGCUCACAGAUAGAUUGAAAUGUUGACCUUGGUGCUGGCACACAUAAGGUGCAAAGGUCGACCUUGGGUGCUGAGAUACAUUAAAUGCAUAGGUCGACCUUGGGUGCUGACACACAUUUAAUGCAAAAGUUACCCAUUUCUGCUGACAUACAUUAAAUGCAGACUGUAAAUGCAUAGGUCGACCUCCUGUUCUGUCAGAGAUUGAAUGUUAAGAUCACUCCUGCUGCUGACAGUGAUGUCUGUUCAGAGUUCACAGAACCUGUGGUACAACCGUCGCACCAGUCCUUUUAUUCUCUGGGAAAACAGUUGCUGUAGAGCAGUUGAACAUUUUGACCAUUCCGCAAGAAGCGAUUGUAUGGAUAUUAAACUGGGGAGAUCAGUCAGUGCAGUGGAAGGCUUAAUCUAGAACAUAUAGUUAGAACAUGAUUAAGGAACGUUCAUAAUUUAUGGCUAGGGAGUGAUGAUGAUUUUAUGGAGGAGCAUGUAAAAUUUGAAUGACCCC